UACGUAGGGGGCAAGCGUUAUCCGGAUUUACUGGGUGUAAAGGGAGCGUAGACGGUUAUGUAAGUCUGGAGUGAAAGCCCGGGGCCCAACCCCGGGACUGCUUUGGAAACUGUGUAACUGGAGUACAGGAGGGGCAGGCGGAAUUCCUGGUGUAGCGGUGAAAUGCGUAGAUAUCACGCAGAACUCCGAUUGCGAAGGCAGCAUACCGGCGCCCUACUGACGCUGAGGCACGAAAGCGUGGGUAUCGAACAGG
rnacentral:rRNA from 1 species